rnacentral:rRNA from 1 species
AUUGAACGCUGGCGGCAGGCUUAACACAUGCAAGUCGAGCGAGCGGCGGACGGGUGAGUAAUGUCUGGGAAACUGCCUGAUGGAGGGGGAUCACUACUGGAAACGGUAGCUAAUACCGCAUAACAUCAGAUGUGCCCAGAUGGGAUUAGCGAGUAGGUGGGGUAAAGGCUCCCCGAGGCGACGAUCCCUAGCUGGUCUGAGAGGAUGACCAGCCACACUGGAACUGAGACACGGUCCAGACUCCUACGGGAGGCAGCAGUGGGGAAGAUUGCACAAUGGGCGCAAGCCUGAUGCAGCCAGGCCGCGUGUGUGAAGAAGGCCUUCGGGUUGUAAAGCACUGUCAGCGAGGAGGCGUUACUCGCAGAAGAAGCACCGGCUAACUCCGUGCCAGCAGCCGCGGUAAUUC